UACGUAGGGGGCAAGCGUUGUCCGGAUUUAUUGGGCGUAAAGAGCGUGUAGGCGGCCAUACAGGUCCGUUGUGAAAACUCGAGGCUUAACCUCGAGACGUCGAUGGAAACCGUAUGGCUAGAGUCCGGAAGAGGAGAGUGGAAUUCCUGGUGUAGCGGUGAAAUGCGCAGAUAUCAGGAGGAACACCAAUAGCGAAGGCAGCUCGCUGGGACGGUACUGACGCUAAGGCGCGAAAGCGUGGGGAGCGAACAGG
rnacentral:rRNA from 1 species